GAUACGGGGCGCCUGUGCGUGAACUCUUGCUUUUUAUUUCUCCUGCAUUUCGGUUUAGAUCGGGCGUCCAGGCGAUUUUAGCUUGAGGUUUGGCACGUAGCUGUAGGCUGUUGGUUGGAAGUUUAGGCGAGCUUUCGAGGUACUCGUUUGGUCGGGGUUGCAAAUGACCGGCAUUUGCCAUGCAUACGCGCGUACCGGUCAAUUUCGUUUUCGAGAGCGCAUCGAUUGGUAUUUUUCCCGAUCCGAAACAAAUUGCCCCCCAACCUUGUGAGCUGGAUUUUUCUUUGCUUUUUUUGUGGGCUAACACUUCUUCGGUCAGUUGCAGUGUUGAUCACUGUGUCAGAUGCGAAAUUUCGUUCGGAUUAUCACUUUUUUUGCAAUUUUAUUUUACAGAUGAUGUGAAGUCAGCAACGCAGCAACCACCGAAAGGAGAAAUUGCGGAGGGAUGCGCGGCAGAUGAUUUCAACGCGCCCCCAUGUGAUUCCACCAAGGAAGUUUCCACAAAGAACCUGGGACGUCUUAGAAAGCGAACAGCUGCUGGCGGUGCUGCAACUUCUGAGUUGCAUGAGGAUGAGCUAAAGGUUGCUGAUGUCAAGCUGAGCAAUGAUGAAGACUGGUCAUAAUGGGGAGUAUCAUAAUGCGUAAAAUGACGAGCGUGAUCGAGGCGUGGCGCCUCCUGGACUCCGUCCGUCGCCGCUUUGGCGACGACGUCCCCGCCGCUGGGCAGGAAGAGUGUUUCCACGCCUUCAACCUCCAUGUCCACGAUGUCGUACUCGAUGCCCACCUGCAAGGUCAGCCUCCCAUCCUCCCGGUCCUUCCCAGCAAAUUAAUCUGGACUUCAACCAUGAAUUAAACGUCCUGGUCUCUAAUGGGAACUUUUUUGUUACUGAACUUCGUAAUUGGUUUGCAUAAAAUCUGAGGUCUGUCUGACAUAUUUUACUUGACCACGGUUCGCUUCAGAAUUCUACUUUAUGUGAGCAUUACUUUCUUAGUCUAUCUGAUUUACUUGGAGGAGUAUUUAAUUACACGUAUGUGUAGUACAAGUUGUUAUUUCCUAAUAAUUUUGAUGGCCUCUAAGCAUCGUUGUUCAUGUCUAUUAUUAUUUAUGAAAGCUACAUGUCUUGGAGGGAAGUUGCGACUUGAGGGUGUGAGCUCCCAUUCUCUCAAUUUCUUGGCAUGGCCAUGCUUGCAGUACUGAUAAGACAUCGUUGUUCAUGUCUAUUAUUAUUUAUGAAAGCUACAUGUCUUGGAGGGAAGUUGCGACUUGAGGGAGUGAGCUCCCAUUCUCUCAAUUUCUUGGCAUGGCCAUGCUUGCAGUACUGAUAAGACAUGCUUCAAAAAUGGAGGAGGGAGGACGUGAGCUGCUGCCUUGGUUCCUGUCCGCACCAGCUGCCACAGUAUGUAAUCAGGCCUCCACUAUCGUCCUCUGAAUUUUGGAUUACAUGCAUCUACAAGAGCGUGAGAGCUUGAGAGGGUAGCACAGUGCUACGUAGAAGUUAUUUUUCUCCAUGAAGUUGAUCAUGCGAAGCUGGUGCCAGAUAGAAGGUUAAUUGAGUUCUCAUCUCCAAAAUGUUUGCAUUCUAAGUAUCCUCUUUGAUUCAGUGGUUCCAUGAUGCUACAGUUCACUUGGUUUUCACCUCUUGAUGCUACUAUGCACAGAAGGUGUUUGCUAAUUUGCACAUUAAAAUUUUCUGAUAAACUAUGCCAAUAUCACAUGCAUAUGUAUUUUUUAGUGAUGUUCGAUUAUUAAUCCAUGUUACAAUAGAACGUGCCCACAUAACAAGUUUUUCCGCAAUCUUCGCAAGCAAGUAUUUGUUUGUUUAACUGCAGGUGGAAUAACAAGAUCCACUGUGUGUGUGCAAUGGCAACAAUAAAUACUCUGUGAGACUUCUGAUAAUUCUACUCUGCAUUUUUUUGCUUUCGUAUAAGUGUUCUGCCGCAUUGUGCAACUACGAUUGACAAAUAUGAUACACCUCAGGGGUUCUUUUUAUAUAUAUGGACUGAACAAUUGAUUUAGUUUUUUUUGUCAUACAGAUUGGGCAUCAAAGUAGACGACAAAGGAUGACAAACGAUUAAGUUCUGCACCUUAGUCCACUUACAACUUAUAAGUUGAUUGAUACUUUUCAUUUUAUAUUGAUGUGCUUCCAAUGAGAACAAUUUUUUCACCGGAUGUGUUUCAUUACAUAUGCCAUUUUAUUUAUGUGAAGUCUUUCAGACUUUCUUUUGAUUCUUUAUUUUAACGGCCUGAAAAAGGAUUAUAAGUAAUGUUGGGUUCCUGACAGGACAAAGGUAGGAAGAGAAGCAAAUCACAACCUUUAGGUUCAUGGUUUAGGAGCAGGAAAGUACAUGUCCAUCUUUGUGGUAUUCUCAUAUGAAUAAGCAUAAUACUACGUACAGAAUCUCUCAAUUGUGUAGACAGGUCAUCAAGUAAUGGUUAGUAAUUCAUAAUUCUGCUUCACCUUUAUGUUAAUGAUCCGCUUUUAAGUGUUUGUUGCCAAAGUGAGCAUCAAAUUGCAGGAAUCUCAAUAUUUGUUCUAUAUUUCUCGCAAGGCUCUUGUACGGUAGAUAUUUUUGCUUGGUCAUAAAUGAAUUAGUCCCAUGCUCUGACAGUAAGAUAAUGGAGCUAGGUGGACGAACAUCGGCAUUGAUGCCAAGAUUAUCUGACAUCUUGUUGUAGUAGUGUCUUAAUUGGAUAUGUUUACAGUUCUAAAAUCAAUGUUCAUCAGCAUCCAGCCUUCUAACUAAAAAGUAUUUUCGCAAGGGCUUCUCUGCACCGGUACGCUCUCUCGCUGGUACGCGAUUUGAGGCAUAGGAGCGAGGGGCAUGUUGCGAGGUCGUCUUCGGUCACGGCUACAACUUAUGACGAGAAGGGGAUUUAUGCUUAGUAGGCUGUCGUGUGGUUAGCAAGUCAUUGUCGCAGUCUCCGCCUCCCAGGUUGCCUCGGCUUGCUGCUGGUGUGUGUUGCUGCAACAGCCCCUUCCGGCCACCUCUGAGGUUGGGCAAUGUGGCCACUGAUGUCAAGGGUGUCGCCAUUUUACUUGCAAAGCACAAAUUGCACCGCACACAACAUCUUGCUAUGCAUGGCCACUGAUGUCAAAGAGAACCAAGUGCCUUGACGUACUAUAUAAAGAGAUCAUGUGAAAACAAAGCUGAAGUUCUUGAUCAGGAUGAGAAGGAAAGUGGUCUUCGAGCAACACUAAUCCUGGGUCAUACAUUUGGUCAUGUACAUAAUAUCUUCGAGCGUUGUUGUUUUUAUGUUGAGUUUAUCUGUCUUGCAUUACGAUGGUCCAUGUAAACUUAUUUGGAUGAAUUGACAGCCCAGUAAGAAGUUUGCUUUAUUUUUGUUGCUACUGCCUACUUUAUUGAAGCAUUUAUGUAGAUGACUCAUGUACUCACUUUUGUUGCUUGCUAAAAUAGAAAAGAAUACAACGAAGAAUAGUAUUUA